rnacentral:rRNA from 1 species
UACGGAGGGGGCAAGCGUUAUUCGGAAUCAUUGGGCGUAAAGGGCGCGUAGGCGGCUUCAUAAGUCUUGGGUGAAAGCCCUCGGCUCAACCGAGGAAUUGCCUUGGAUACUGUGAAGCUCGAGGCUGGAAGAGGGCAGUGGAAUUCCCGGUGUAGCGGUGGAAUGCGUAGAGAUCGGGAAGAACACCAGUGGCGAAGGCGGUCUGCUGGGCCGUAGCUGACGCUGAUGCGCGACAGCGUGGGGAGCAAACAGG